CAACUUAUCUAAAAAUAUUCACGUUCUCGGCGAAACGCCGUUCCGAUCAGGUCAUCGGAGCUCCGCCGGUGCGCGCCCACUCUUCUUUCUCGCACCAGGAAUUCGUAGCAUCUCCGCCGCCAACACGAACAGGCGGCGGUCUCUGCCGCUGCUGCUUCCCAUCCUUUCUCGGCGACUAGCUCCGUCGCUGAUGCCUCUGGCUGUGGCAGACGCUGCUCGGUCCGCUUCGCAGACCAGCGCCGCUGCUGACCGCUAACGUAGAGUUGCGGAUCCUUCCUGCGGCUAUCUCCGUCGGCAUCCAGUACCAGGGCUUCUCAACUCUCAAGCUAAGCCUUCUAUCUUAGUCUAUUUGGUUGACCUCUUUAGGGCAGAGUUUGUUCUUAUUUCAUGGUUUGAGAGUUAGGCAGAUUGUAUUUGUUCUUCAAAGGAAACGGCAGUAGCUUGGCUAAAGCUUUUGAGCAUGUAUGGAUUUCUUGAUUUGGUGUUCAUAUGUGUACACGAUUAAGGAACUUAGGGAUUUAAGUUGAUAUGGCCACUGAUGUCUAUUUGUUUUACUAGACCCGAGACCAUUUCUAGUAGAGCUCAAGUGCAUAUACAUUAUGGUGUGAUAAUCUGUGACUAUCAUGCUGUACUGUUGAGCAUUCUUUUGUGAAAGUCUAUUUAUGAUCUUGAAAUCUGAUCAUGUUGUGAUUCCUAGUAUAAAGUGUGACUAUAUGAUGGCAUGGCAUGGUUCAUGUUUGAGUUUGAGAGGGAGGUGGAUGUUUACCUUCUUUGCUCCUGCUCCUGCUCCUAGCCUCGGUCUCUCUCACUCUUUAUCUUACUGAUUUGUGUUGAUAUGUGGUGGUGAAGAGGGGGAGGCCGUGGGCUAUCCCUAUAUAGAGGGUGUGUAACUGAAAGCUGCAAAAGUUUGUUGUUUGGCUGGAAAAGGGUCCUUACUGUUUUGAUUGUUGCACCCUGCAGUCUCUUUAACUACAUUUGACACUUGUAAAUGCUUUUGGUACCUUGUUCAUUUAUAGGAUUUGUCUCCUGUGGCAGGUGCACAAUGGAAUGGCAGGGGUUUGUAGGUAAUAUCCUCGGCAAUGGCAGCUGUGAGGUGGAGGUACGAGCUGCCAAAAUCAGCCUUACCAGGUACCUGCAGCUGUUGGAUGGGGGUGCCGGCUGAGCUUGCUUCUUUCAGCCCAAGCACUUCCUCAUUUUUGGAAAGGGACAAGAGGCUGUCACCUCGUCGGUUCGGCCCAAUGGGCCAUCGGAAAUCUAGGCCAAAACCAUGCUAGAGAAAAGGAGUAGUUCCAUUUGUAAAAGAAUAGUGUUUCUACUUUGAAAUCCUCUUUUCUUUUCUUCUUGUAUGCGAAAAGAAAAACUGUAGAAAUUAGUGUGUAAUUUGUUUCCUUUAUUUCCAUCAUCGAACAUUUGUAAAUUAAGACUUAGCUUGAAAUUCUAUAUAUUGUAUUUCGUUUACUUAAGAAAUAAACGGAUACUCUUUCGCUUCGUUC